ensembl:antisense Gm17172 predicted gene 17172
AAUAAGGGGUUUUCUAGACCUCUGGUAUCAUCUAGAGAUUCUUGAGAUGGUUUUCAGAUUGUAUGCAAUGUGAUCGGUCAGCUUCUGUUCUUGCCACUGUGACCUCCCCUUCUCCAUCAUGGUGGACUCUAGGCCCCCUACCCCCAACCCCCUGGAAAUGUAAGUCCAAAUAAACCUUUUCUCCCCUAA